rnacentral:rRNA from 1 species
GGGGGGAAUGGGAGCUUGCUCCUGAUGUUAGCGGCGGACGGGUGAGUAACACGUGGGUAACCUGCCUGUAAGACUGGGAUAACUCCGGGAAACCGGGGCUAAUACCGGAUGGUUGUCUGAACCGCAUGGUUCAGACAUAAAAGGUGGCUUCGGCUACCACUUACAGAUGGACCCGCGGCGCAUUAGCUAGUUGGUGAGGUAACGGCUCACCAAGGCGACGAUGCGUAGCCGACCUGAGAGGGUGAUCGGCCACACUGGGACUGAGACACGGCCCAGACUCCUACGGGAGGCAGCAGUAGGGAAUCUUCCGCAAUGGACGAAAGUCUGACGGAGCAACGCCGCGUGAGUGAUGAAGGUUUUCGGAUCGUAAAGCUCUGUUGUUAGGGAAGAACAAGUGCCGUUCAAAUAGGGCGGCACCUUGACGGUACCUAACCAGAAAGCCACGGCUAACUACGUGCCAGCAGCCGCGGUAAUACGUAGGUGGCAAGCGUUGUCCGGAAUUAUUGGGCGUAAAGGGCUCGCAGGCGGUUUCUUAAGUCUGAUGUGAAAGCCCCCGGCUCAACCGGGGAGGGUCAUUGGAAACUGGGGAACUUGAGUGCAGAAGAGGAGAGUGGAAUUCCACGUGUAGCGGUGAAAUGCGUAGAGAUGUGGAGGAACACCAGUGGCGAAGGCGACUCUCUGGUCUGUAACUGACGCUGAGGAGCGAAAGCGUGGGGAGCGAACAGGAUUAGAUACCCUGGUAGUCCACGCCGUAAACGAUGAGUGCUAAGUGUUAGGGGGUUUCCGCCCCUUAGUGCUGCAGCUAACGCAUUAAGCACUCCGCCUGGGGAGUACGGUCGCAAGACUGAAACUCAAAGGAAUUGACGGGGGCCCGCACAAGCGGUGGAGCAUGUGGUUUAAUUCGAAGCAACGCGAAGAACCUUACCAGGUCUUGACAUCCUCUGACAAUCCUAGAGAUAGGACGUCCCCUUCGGGGGCAGAGUGACAGGUGGUGCAUGGUUGUCGUCAGCUCGUGUCGUGAGAUGUUGGGUUAAGUCCCGCAACGAGCGCAACCCUUGAUCUUAGUUGCCAGCAUUCAGUUGGGCACUCUAAGGUGACUGCCGGUGACAAACCGGAGGAAGGUGGGGAUGACGUCAAAUCAUCAUGCCCCUUAUGACCUGGGCUACACACGUGCUACAAUGGACAGAACAAAGGGCAGCGAAACCGCGAGGUUAAGCCAAUCCCACAAAUCUGUUCUCAGUUCGGAUCGCAGUCUGCAACUCGACUGCGUGAAGCUGGAAUCGCUAGUAAUCGCGGAUCAGCAGCGCGUACGAC